UAACAGCCUGCCCACCCUGGAAA
rnacentral:snRNA from 1 species